UUACCUUUUACUAGAGAAUAGCCAAGAGAAAUUUUGAUUAAUGCUCUAUACACUUAUUAAUUCACAUGAAUCUAUAAGAAAAGCUCCGGCGGUAAAAGAUGGGCAUGCGUCCUAUUAGCUUGUAGGUGAGGUAAUGGCUCACCUAAGCUCCGAUAGGUAGGGGUCCUGAGAGGGAGAUCCCCCACACUGGUACUGAGACACGGACCAGACUUCUACGGAAGGCAGCAGUAAGGAAUAUUGGACAAUGGAGGCAACUCUGAUCCAGCCAUGCCGCGUGAAGGAAGACGGCCUUAUGGGUUGUAAACUUCUUUUAUACAGGAAGAAACCUUUCCAC
rnacentral:rRNA from 1 species